rnacentral:lncRNA from 1 species
CUUUCUUCUCAGAAAGACUUUGUUUCAUCGGACUGUUGCUGUCUAGUCAUCUUCUUCAACUAGCGUGAAGACUUGCUCACAAAGUUCAUGCAGUGCUUUGGAAGGACUACUGUUGUGAUCUCUGGAGCAUUUGAUUCUGGCUCUUAGAGGAACAGGAGCUCUCAUCUAUGAAGUACCUCUGAUCUUCAGCUAGUUUUAUGCAUAGAAGGUGAUGCACAGAGGGAUUACGGUUGUUAAAAUAUUUGCAAUGCUGCACAGGCUUGGAUGACAGAAGGAAAGUUGUUGGAAAAACAGCAAGAUGACAAGGACUUCAGUCUCGCUUUUUCUUCAGCAUAGCUGAAUCAUCGCGUGUAAAGGAUGUUGGAAGUUAUUCCAAUCCCUUCUGUUUCCCUUGGGAGCGCAUACACUGAAGGGCCAGGGCACUGGAGCAAAAUAGAGAUGCUCCAGUCCUCACACAGGCAGUGCAAAAGAAGUCUACUUGCAGAAAAGGCACUGUGAUCCAAUUCCAGGUUAAAAGACAGAAGUUGUCAUGUACUGCUGAGCAGGAGACAGUGAGGAAACCUCUCACCAUGAUGCCAGGCACCGAUCUGUACUGGGUGGAUCUGCUUGCUCCCCUCUGAGGAUCCCUUCCUUUCCUCCCCAUUGGUGUUGUUGGAGGAUUAAAGUAGCAGCGGCCCCAUACACAAACGCAGCUGGUUCCGUUUGGUCAGCCUGAGCCUUGCUGUGAAACCACGACAAGAAUUCCAGUAAGUUGGCAACACUGAAACACAAAGAAAACAACAAUAGGAAAAGUCCUUCCGUGCAGAA